rnacentral:lncRNA from 1 species
UCUCUUCUAUCCUUCUUCCACGUCAUUUAUUCAAAACGAACCUCAUCAUUCUAAUCUGAUAUUUUCACUGAUUUCUUUUUUCUUUUAUGUUUAAACAUACAAUCUGAACCCUUGAAAUAAAGGUUGGAAAAUGUGAGCCAUUGGAUUAAUUUUUUAUCCAAGACUUCCAUUUUUUUGAUUUUUCUUAAAAUAAGAAUUUUCGGAUUUAGUAUUUGGGCGACCACACGGUUUUGUGAUUUCUUGGAGAAGAGGGAAGAAGCUUCUAGGGUUUGAUAUAUAUAUUUGGGGUUUUCUGACAGAAUGGGGGAGAUAGAAAUUUCGGAUUGAAAAAUUGAAGAACUAGGUUUUCUUUUAGCUUCCUUUUAAAUUUUGCUGGCUCUUUGCUUUUUUCAGAAACAAAAACUAAAAAUCAAAAAUAUAGUUUGAGUUUAAAUUUCUGUUGAGACUUGUUUCUUUUUGGUGAAAUCAGAAAAUUUCCAAAAAUAUUUUAGUUUCUUCUUCUGGUUGUUGCUGUAUUGACAUUGAAAUUAAUUGAGCAAAGUCGAGUGUGACGUUUGAGUUAUUAGUUGCUGGUUCAUUUCGUGCUGCUGCUGUGUCGCUUGUUCAUUUCAAAGCUUCAUCGAAAAGUUGUUUAUAGUUGCUUACAAACAGAUUUAAUGGAAAAGCUACAUUCUCAUGUGCAUUUCCUUCCUCAUUCUGUUUGCUUACUGUCUUUGGUGAUAAAUUAAGCAUGAUAGAGAGCCAAAAUUUAACUGUUUCGGGGCUGUUUGAAAUUUUGAUGUUAAUGGUCGACUCGAAUAUGUUUCUUAGCUGUUCACGAAAUCGUUUCAGUGUUAUAGGGAGUUAUUCCAGAUCUAAAUGCCUAUUUGAAUUGGUUAAUCACAUGACUACUAAGCAAAAUAUGAAUAAGUAAUUGAUAGGUGUAUAUUUGUUGGUUAGUUCAUGUGACUGUGGUUGCUGUCCUCUUCUUCAGUUUCUUCUGAUGAAUGUGUCUCGAGGCUUAAAGUGUUCUGUUGAGCCUAGAAUGUUAUCAUGCUUGUCAUCAGUCUACUGCAUUUUCUUCAUCGUUCUUGAUUGGAAGAGCCUUUUGGCGUCUUAAUAUUUUCUAUCAACUUUAACUAACAGGCAUUGAAGAGUUAACUCUUUAGUUAGAUCUUGGCGGAGAUGUGCCCUUUUAGCUUUAUACGAAUUGAUGUAACAUCUAUAUGUUAGUUUGAAUAUGAAAUGAGCAGGAAGCUAUCCCGUUUAGUUUAAGUUUAUUGGGUUAAGGAACUCAUGUUUCCAACCCCAUGAUUUCUAGUUAAACUCAAAAGCAUAUUAACCAUAGGGUGUUCAUAGAUUUAAAUGAAGUCGAGUUUAUCAUGCCUUCGCUAUUAAGAUUUCAUCCUCCUUCUCUAUGCCUGUCGAUGGUAACAUCAAAGUAGUCAGUUUGUGUGAAGGUUUGUCUCAUUACUGAAUGCCGAAAGUCGGUUCGUGUUGGUUUAAUUUGAUUUAUUUCCUAUUAGAAUAGGCGUGGGAUGAGUGUUGAAACUUCUCUGGUCUCAUUUGGGUUCCACAUCUGAAUGUGUUCUAACCAGCGAGUGUUACUAAUGAACUAUAUUUCUAUACAGAAUUGUUAUAAAGUAUAUUGUAAUAUUUCUCUGUUCAAUUGAUUGCUUUGGUUGGUAGCUUUAUUCCACAGUAUCUUAGCAAAAUCUAUCUCAGCCUAUCGAGGGUAACAUCAAAGUAGUCAGUUUGUAUGAAGGUUUUGUCCCAUUGUUGAAUGCUGAAAGUCGGUUCGUGUUGGUUUAAGUUGAUUUAUUUCCUAUUAGAGGUGUGGCAUGAGUGCUGAAACUUCUCUGGUCUCACUUGGGGUUCCCCAUUAGUCUUUUAAUUGUCUCUGUUAGAAAUUGAGUGCUCCAUACAUGUCCUGAAAGCAUGCUUAAAGGUCACCGUUUGAACCUAUAUUAGGUCAGUAUGUUUCAUUGUUUUUGCUUGGGUGUAAGUUGUUGAACCAUUUUGAAGCAUGACAUAUUCAUUGUUAAGAUGAGUAAGAUAAUGAAUUAAAACCGGAGAUAGAUCAUAUGGUGGUAUCACUUUAACCUUUAGGGUCAGCUGGUAGUUAGUGUCAUGCAUUGUUUAAGUCUUAUAGGAAAGGUGUUUUGGGGUUCUAGUUCACUUAUAGAAUACCUAGUGCAAGUUGAGUUUUGUUAAACGCGUUAAUGACUUCAUGACUUAUCUGUAUUGAUUUCCCUUGGAUUCAGUUCGUUGCUACUCUCCUAGUUGAAUUCAAAAUGAGUUUCCAUAUUUACUGGUAUGGGAUUAAGAAUAAGUUUAAUGGGAAUGGUUAGAUAGACUUUAGACAACUCUUAUUAUGCUUUGAUUUGUCAUAUCUGGACUUGGUUGGUAUUUCUUUUUUGUCAAAUGCUAAAUUUUCCUCCUCUCGUAUGUGUCUUCUACGUUAAUUCCUACUUUGUGCGUGUGUAGAUAACUGGAGUAGGUCAUU